rnacentral:lncRNA from 1 species
AGUGGUCGCGACCUGACUAAGGAGCCCCUGAAUAAAAACUAGGGCAAACCCACAGUUAGCGAUUGAAAUGUUGACGACCAGGUCAGAUGCAGGCUACUCUGCCAUUGUGGGGUAUGCUAAAGCACAGCUGUAAUUAACACAGCAUUAACAAUGGAUCCAUACAACCACCCUACGAGCUUCUAUAGACUCAGCUGCUGCAACAGCAAGAACAGAAUUUGUACAGUUCUGCAUAGAACAGUGGGUGGCAUGUAUUAGGAUAUUCGUAGCAACAGCAUCUUGUACAAAGGAAAAUAAUACAUAGACAAGUUCUAGCUAUUACAUGAUGGGUUUGAGGAAGCUACUAGAUAACUACGUGUUUAAAGGAACUUCUGAGUUUUUGAACUGACAAAUCUCAAGAGGUAUUAUAUAUUGCAUGUCCUCUUCCUGGUAUCUGAUAAUGAUCAGCAUUCAGCCCCACAGCAAGCUACCAAGCCUGUGUUGCAGUGGCUUGUGACUUGCGGCUCAGAUUUCAGUAAAUUUGAAGUCAUACUCAGAUCUGAAUGAAUUGAGAAUAGAAUGUAUGCCAAGUAGACACUCCAGGGGCAUGGUCUACCCAGCAAGUCCAGCCUAGCAGGCAGAGAGGGUGUGAAGCCUGGUGAGUUGUGCUCUAGAGCACUCUGGAAGAUUACCCCAGUGGGCUCAGAAGCCCAGCACUCUUUAGGGACCUACUGUGCCUCUAGACUCAGGGACAGGGCCGUCCUUGCUUAGCAAAAUAAAAACACCAAGGAGGCCAUGUUUCCUAGUAUUUGCUCCCCAGAACACAGGAGGGCAUGAAGAACAUUUUCAUCUUUUUUUUCCUCCCUCUUGUGCAUGGAGAGUUGAUUUUUGUCUUUUUUUUCUCCCUCCUCUGACUACCCUACAAUAAAUCCUGUAGUUCAUCUCAUCUUCUACAACUUUAAAUGUCCCAUGUCACUCUUAAGUUAUUCUUCCCUUAGUGACAAUAAUAAAUAAAAACCCCUAUGGAAACGUGGAAAGUUGCCACAGGCAACAGAAAAGGGCAGUGGUGGUGUGCUUUAUUUAAUACUGCACAGAAAAACAAGUUAUACCCCCCCCCCAGGACAAUUAGUCCUGAUGAAAGUAGAUUAUCUUUUAAACAUUUAAAUUUCUCCACAUCCAGAGGUUCAAAGAAAGAAAAACAUAAAGAUAUAAAUAAGUAAAUAUGAAAGACCUUUUUAAAUUAGACAUCACCUUUAAAGUUUAAAGGCCAUGACUUCUAAGAGGAAGUCUAACUGGUUAAACAGAAUUUUUAUCUAAUCCUCAUCCUGAACAACUUUUUCUGGAGUUCUGUUUUUGUUUUUGUUUUUUCUCAAGAUACUUUUUUAAUUAGUGAAUUAAAGGUAUGUCAUUACAUGCCUGCUAAGUUAAUAUUGAAAGAAAGGAAAUUAACUGUAGUUACUAGUUUUUUCUUCUCAGAGCUAUGUGGGUUAGAGUUCGCCUGGUGUUUCCUGACUUCAAUGUUUAGUUUUGUCAUGCUGUAAAUCAACCCUUAGGAUAGUUUUCUAAAAACUUCAUUCAUGUUUUGGCUCCACUCUUUCCCUUUGAAAUUGCCUGUUCAUGAAAGAGGAUAUAGGUUUUCUUAAUAAGCCUCUGGGCUAAUUAUGUCAGGGAGUUGUGGGAACAAAUUCUAAAUACAGAAUUAUGGACCAUGUGCCUUCAAACUCAGCCCACAACUAUAGAGCAGAACUUCUGUUAUCAGACUUCGAGGAAAUCCUGGCAGCAGUGACCAAGUUUCUUCUCGUAUCCAUAAACAUAUCCAUCCAAUGAACGUUAAAAGAUUCUCUCUGCUCAGCCCUACUUCCCCUCCCCUAAUGAUGAUCAAUGCGUCUAAGAAAAUACAAUUACAUCUCCCAGGUUUCCAUGAAAUAAUUACAACAUCUUGAGAGAUAACAGUGACUCCAAUUUCAACUAUAUUAAGGGCAUCAAAAUGCUGAACCUGUCCUUGAACCAGAAGAAAGAUCCAAGAACCUUGAUAUCACCAAUUUGGAAUACAAAACAGGAAAUUAUUUUAAGGCUGUUUACAGUAAUCAGUUUUGAGAAGGCAGUUGUACUAGAUUUUCAGAAAUUAAAAGCAUUUUGCUUUCGAGCCUUAAGUGAGGGUUCUAAAAGUGUGGAAAUGGGAACAGUGUCCUAGAAACAAGGAUGUUAGACCAUCUGGCUGACUGCUAAGGAACAUCAUUUCUAGGAAAAGUCCUCCAGAUCACUUCUCACCCAAGUUCUGGGCCCUUACCUCCAACUGCCUUGUAUGUCUGAGCAUUCAGCACCUAGCCACCCACACUAAACAUUUGUCUUCCAAAUUGCUUAUUAAGCUUAAUUUAUGUUCACUAUUCUUGUAAUCAUCUAAAUGUAAAACCUAUAUUUC